AGUGAACGCUGGCGGUAGGCCUAACACAUGCAAGUCGAACGGCAGCACAGUAAGAGCUUGCUCUUACGGGUGGCGAGUGGCGGACGGGUGAGGAAUACAUCGGAAUCUACUUUUUCGUGGGGGAUAACGUAGGGAAACUUACGCUAAUACCGCAUACGACCUACGGGUGAAAGCAGGGGAUCUUCGGACCUUGCGCGAUUGAAUGAGCCGAUGUCGGAUUAGCUAGUUGGCGGGGUAAAGGCCCACCAAGGCGACGAUCCGUAGCUGGUCUGAGAGGAUGAUCAGCCACACUGGAACUGAGACACGGUCCAGACUCCUACGGGAGGCAGCAGUGGGGAAUAUUGGACAAUGGGCGCAAGCCUGAUCCAGCCAUACCGCGUGGGUGAAGAAGGCCUUCGGGUUGUAAAGCCCUUUUGUUGGGAAAGAAAAGCAGCAGGUUAAUACCCCGCUGUUCUGACGGUACCCAAAGAGUAAGCACCGGCUAACU
rnacentral:rRNA from 1 species